GAUGAACGCUGACAGAAUGCUUAACACAUGCAAGUCGACUCGAUUUACCUUCGGGUAUUGAGGAUGGCGGACGGGUGAGUAACGCGUAAGGAACUUGCCUCUUGGUCUGGGACAACUGUUGGAAACGACAGCUAAUACCGGAUAUUAUGAGAUUCUCGCAUGGGAAACUUAUGAAAGCUAUAUGCGCCAAGAGAGAGCCUUGCGUUCCAUUAGCUAGUUGGUGGGGUAACGGCCCACCAAGGCGACGAUGGAUAGCCGGCCUGAGAGGGUGAACGGCCACAAGGGGACUGAGACACGGCCCUUACUCCUACGGGAGGCAGCAGUGGGGAAUAUUGGANNNNGNNNNNNNAGUCUGAUCCAGCAAUUCUGUGUGCACGAUGAAGGUCUUCGGAUUGUAAAGUGCUUUCAGUUGGGAAGAAGCAAGUGACGGUACCAACAGAAGAAGCGACGGCUAAAUACGUGCCAGCAGCCGCGGUAAUACGUAUGUCGCAAGCGCUAUCCGGAUUUAUUGGGCGUAAAGCGCGUCUAGGCGGAAAAAUAAGUCUGAUGUUAAAAUGCGGGGCUCAACUCCGUAUUGCGUUGGAA
rnacentral:rRNA from 1 species